rnacentral:lncRNA from 1 species
UGGCAAUAUUGUAAUUUUUAACCGAGGGAAAAUUGUAUUUUUUGACUGAGGUAAAAUCGUAAUUUGACAAAAGUUAAAGUAAUGACAGUACUGUAAAUUUGAACCUGGGGCAAAAUUGUAAAUUUUCACAGGGGCAAAUUCGUAAUUUUUAACUUGGGGUAACAACGUAAUAUAAAUUUGAACUAAGGGCACAAUCAUAAUUUUAAGCUCGAGGCAAAAGCACAAUUUUAUUUUGAACCGAGGGAAAAAUCGUAAUUUUGAGCUGGGGGCAAAAACAUAAUUUUAUUUUGGACUGGGAAAAAAACGUAAUUUUGAAUUGAGGGCGAAAUCACAAUUUUUAAACGGGGAAAAAUCACAUUUUUGAACAGAGGGCAAAAGCGUAAUUUUUAAGUGGGGACAAAAACAAAAUUUUAUUUUGAACUGGGGGCGAAAAGGUAAUUCUGAGCUGAAGGCAAAACCACAAUUUUAUUUUGAAUGGAGGGAAAAAUCGUAAUUUUUAGUUGCGUAAUUUUAUUUUGAGCUGGGGGGCAAAACCGUAAUUUUAUUUAAUGGAUAUAAAAUAAUAAACUGGUUGGUCCAAUGGGUGAGUGCCAGACAAAGUCUUAAUUUUGAAUUGAGGGCAAGAUCGUAAUUUUGAGAUGAGGACAAAAAGCGUAUUUGUAUUUUGAGCUGGGGGCAAAAACGUAAUUUUAUUUUGAGCUGGGACAAAAACGUAAUUUUAAAAUGGAUAUAAAACAUUAAACGUGUUGGUCCAAUGAAGGAGUACCAGGCAGCUGUCUGAUACUAUUCCCCCAUUUAGGUUUUGUAUAUGUAGGAAAUACAUAUGGGUUGUUUUAUAUUUGUAAUGGUUGAUAUGUUGUAAGGUUGUUUGAGCUUCCAAUUUUUGAAAAUCAUUUUAAAGCUGAAAUAUAAUUUUAAUGUUUAAUUAAUAAACUAGAUGUAACAUCCGUCGUGUUGCGGCCGGGUUGACAUCCAUAUAUCAUAGAAGUUCGGUAUCCGGUUGAUUCGUUACAACAUCGAUACUCGUCAGAGUCACUGAAAGAGAACCCUAAAUAUAACACCAAAACAUCCAUAAAGAAGUCAUCACCUAAAAAGUAUACAACAAAAUAAAACGCACACCGUCACUCCCAAGAAAUGUUUUGUAGACACGAUCUGUUUGUAACCUAGAGGAACAAAGAGACUUAAUGUCCUCAAUUACAUUUUGAGUAUAAACCUAUUUCCCUUUGAAAUCUUUUUUGUUCCUUUUGAGCCAAAGCACCCGUAUUAAAGUUAAGAAUAUUGCUGAGAUUACCUUCCUUUUAGCCUUAAGACACACAUCCUCUAUCCCCUGUUUUGAUUAGACCUUGAAUAUGAUGUUUUAAUCUGAGAUGAUGUAGUAUGCACCAAUUUGUUACUAAAGCCGCAGUGAAUUUCGCUAGAUGGCAGCCAACAAAAAUGUGUUCUAUUCGUCUUUUCACGAGCUACACCAUAUGCAGUAGUCUAACCGUCUUCUAAAUUGCUCGAGCCUCUCUUUUUUAGCGAUGCCUUUGUUGGUAUUCUGUCAUGAAUGACCCUUCAUAUUAGAUAGUUAACUUUUAUAGGAAUCUAAUCCUAUUAUACAAUCCACCUCCACUUAAUCGGUUGCCCUUGAAUGGUGACCUAGAACCAAUUAUUGCAUGAUCUCUUUAAAUAAAUUAAAAGACUUGCAAACUAAAAGUGUACUACAACAUUUUAUUAUUAUCAUUGAAGUUUCAAAAAUUUUAAUAAAAACUACAUCAUCUAAACUAUAUGUUUCAUGAUUUAGUCAUUGGUCUACAAUAGAAUGUAAUUAUUGUAGCCAGAUUAUAACUCACACUAAUGAAACACAUUUAAAAUUAUAUUUCUUUCUUCUAUAUUAAAAAUCUGUAUAUUUUUUACAGAUAAUAAUAGAUGGCCCAUAAACAGUUCGAAUACCAUAUUUGUAAAUGCAUAUUGCAUAUUUCAUUAAUAAAUAGAAAUACCAACAGCACAGGUAAAUGAUCAACCCAAACAUGGACUCUUUAGUAAACGGGUCAGCCCGUCGCGAAACGCGGGGUUAAUGCGGAAAAAUCGCUACCUACUUGGGUCCACUAUCGGCUGGUGGUAAUUGGUUAACUCUGUUCCAUAAUGUCUUUUUCCCUCUUGAGAACAUAACAUACCUCAAUAGCAACCAAACACACUACUUAGGUUCACCCUGCUCAA